rnacentral:sRNA from 1 species
CAACAACUGAAAGGAGGUGGUCGAAUGUCUCAUUGUCCCAUGCCGCUCGUGGCAAGCCUGAUGGGUGCGACCUCCGCCGUGGGGUUCGUCGCCUGACGAAAGCCGCGAACGGCUGACAAUGGAAAGGCCGUCCCCGAGAGGGGGCGGCCUU